ensembl:lncRNA
UGCCACACCUGGAAACCCAGAUUGUCUCUAGAUGGACCAAACCAGGUGUUAUUCCACAGAAAAAUCUGUCAUCACUCCUUCCUACAGACAUCUGAAACUUAUAAACAUUGGUCUAAAAGCAAUGGAGCCAGCCAAACAUGGACUGAAGUCUCUGAAACCAUGAGCCAAAAUAAAUAUUUUCUCCCUUUAAAUUGAUUUUCUCAGGAAUUAUGUCACAGUGACUGAAAGACUUUUGAGAAGAAACCUAUACAGUAUCUAAGAUUAUGAAAAAAUCAGCUACUUUCUUUCUGUGGAGCUGUGUAUUCCUACAGUUUGAAAAUGAUUUGGCAAAACUGUGGUCAUGCUGUCUCCAGACUCUUUCUCUUCAGUUCCAUUGUGGUUAUUUGCCUUGCUGCCUUUGCCUAUCGCUGCUGAAAGGGAUCGAACUCGGGAUCUUGCGCUUGCGAGGCACACGGCAGAACCACUGAGCUAAAUCCCUGGCCCUGGCUUUAUCUUUUUCUCUAGAGAAACAUGUAUUUGGAAUGUGGAUGUGACUCACAGUAGCUGUGCCUGGAGAAAGCAAAAAUUCAUAUGUGCAUUCACUCACUUCACAGACCUACAGCAAGGUGUGUACAGGAGCUCCAAAGUAGCUAUAGAAGUAGCCUGAUUCAGUACAAUUGCAUAUGAAAAACCAGAUUUGGAAGUUUUGGAGGAGGUCAAAAGUAUGGAUGAUGAAUAUGAUGAUGACUUUGAUGUUGGUCAUAUGAACCAAAGUUUCUAUGACAAUGAAAUGGAGGAAAAUCAACCAAUACAGACACAGGGAAUGCAGAUAUCCUUGAUUCAGAUGAUGAAGAGAGCAGCAAUAACACAAAUUGACCAGCAUAGAAAUUGAAUGCAGGAACAAAACAGACAUUCCAAAUGAAAUGUUGCAAUUUCAAAACAGAGAAUCAAUCAUUGGAUUUCAGAAAGACAUAACACUGGCCUUGUAUAUGGCAAAGAAAACAAACUGGUUCUGCUCAUGUCAAUAUUGCACCAUGAUGGAAAUAUUUAUAGGAAAACCUUGACAAAAUGAAAGCCUGAGAUGUGAACUUUCUACAACAAAACCAAAAGUGGAGUAGAUGUUGUUGAUGACUUAUUUGGCAACUAUAAUGUCACUUGAAACACAAAGCAUUGGCCAAUGGUGGUGUUUUACUUGAUCUUAAAUGUGUGUGGCAUAAAUAACUUGAUACUUUAUAAAGAAAAUAACAAGUGCAAAAUACCACAGAGAAAUUUUCUUAGAGGAUUGGGACUGGAAUUCAGAAGAGAUCAUUUACAGCAGAGGAAAAACAAAAUAUUUCUGCCCAAGGAGACUAUGCAAAAAAAUUUGUGGAGCACAUUCGUUAGCUGACAGGUAAAUGGGCAGGUGCAGCAUCACAAAGACCUACUAUGACAAUAUGAAAACCAAAAGGAUAUCAACUGUGCCCUACAAAAACGGACAGGAAAACAAAACAUACAUGCUACCUGUAAGCGAUACUUGUGUAUAGCACACAGAGUUUUCAUGUGUGAAGAUUGCCUUGGGUGUAACAUUUGAAGCAAAGAUUAUUUCUGUGGUAG